rnacentral:rRNA from 1 species
UACAGAGGUCUCAAGCGUUGUUCGGAUUCAUUGGGCGUAAAGGGUGCGUAGGUGGCGCCAUAAGUCAGGUGUGAAAUCUCGGGGCUUAACUCCGAAACUGCAUUUGGUACUGUGGUGCUUGAGGACUGGAGAGGAGACUGGAAUUCACGGUGUGGCAGUGAAAUGCGUAGAUAUCGUGAGGAAGACCAGUGGCGAAGGCGGGUCUCUGGACAGUUCCUGACACUGAGGCACGAAGGCCAGGGGAGCAAACGGG